AUAUAAAAAAAUGCCGAGUAGCCAUGCUUUCCAUCUUUGUUUCCUCGCUCAACUUGCAGGGUUCCAUUUAAGACCACAACUCGCCAAACUAUCUACA